rnacentral:misc_RNA from 1 species
UCAACAAUUCGGCUUCCGACAAUAUACAGUUGUGAUGGUCUUUUCUGUUAGAUGGUGAAACAAUGACAAGAGUCAGAGACAGGACUGAGGAUUUUAAAGAUGCAGUGAGGAACACUGCUGUUUCUUUGGGGUACAAUGAGUCCANAUUUUGGCAUCUUUCAUUAUUCAUAAACCUCGACAGCACUUACCUUUUACCAAGGCUGCACUAACAACGC